AUCCAACGGUAGAUGAGAAAGACUGGAGUCUAAGAGAAUAUAUAAACAGCGGCGAUGGGAAAGAUUGGUGUAGUUAGGGUUUCAGAACGUGAAGGAAGGAAAUUUGGAGAAACGGGAAUGGGAGCUGAUCUAUUGAAAUCCUUAGGAAUGUGCGGGUUGGAAACGAAAACAGCAACCGCACUUGCUCCUACUCCUUAUCAGGGUUAGAGGGUUUGUGGUGUUGCUUCCAAUUCCGCCCAUUCCUAAGUCUUUCAAUUGUUCCUCCCUUUCCCUUCUUCUCCUCUUCGUUUCAGUUUCAGUUCGGUCACAAGCACAAAAUCAAUCUCAACAAGUUAAAGCUUCUUUAGAUUGUUUUCCAUAGAUAACAACGAUGACGAUCGAUCGAAAUAUGUUAAGAGUGGAGAGGAUGGAUGUUUCUCGUAGAUUUACCCUUUCAAUUUUCUUUGUUCUUCGUUUCCUCCCCUAAUUUUAUUGUUUGAUUUGACGUGGAUAGUUAAUCGUUUUACCUUGCUAAUAAUGAGGAAUUAUGGUGUUCGCUGGGAUAAGUGAUUCUACACUC